UACGUAGGGGGCAAGCGUUGUCCGGAUUUAUUGGGCGUAAAGAGCGUGUAGGCGGCCAGAUAGGUCCGUUGUGAAAACUGGAGGCUUAACCUCCAGCGGUCGAUGGAAACCAUCUGGCUAGAGUCCGGAAGAGGAGAGUGGAAGUUCCUGGUGAGCGGUGAAAUGCGCAGAUAUCAGGAAGAACACCCGUGGCGAAGGCGGCUCUCUGGGACGGUACUGACGCUGAGACGCGAAAGCGUGGGGAGCGAACAGG
rnacentral:rRNA from 1 species